GAAAAAGUUGUCAGAGAUGCUGGAAGAUGGCACCUCUGAGUCGUGGGACUGAAGCUAAAGGAAACCUCGUGCUCUUGCUCACAAAGUGCUCCUGUUCCCCUGUGACCCACUGGGAAUGCUGCAGAUUUAUGGUGUGGGGUGGUUCCUCCCAGGAGAACAAAUCCAGCUUUGUAGCUGCAGCUGGAACUGGCAGGAAAUCUACACGAGAUUCGUUUUACCUGUAAGUUUCUCCCAGUAAAUAAAGAAGUGCAGGUUUUGAUGCAUUGGCCCGACAGUAUCAAGGAUUUUUAUCUACCUGCAGACUUCAACCACUGGCCAAGCCAGCUUGAGAGAGACUGAAAACCAGUACUCGACCCAGAAAACACACAUGAGCCCUGAUUUGCACCCUAAGCCUGGGCUGGCAUGAGAAAAGAGCACUCAGUUGUUUCAAAGAAAAGAACCUCUCCUCUUUACCUGCUGCAUUACUGUAACAGGAGUCCUCUGGGAAUGAACAGCUUCAAAACUUAAGGAAAGGAAAGCAGGGGGAUGUUAGAGCCAGGAGUGUCCAUCCCUCUUUAUUGACUCAUGCUCCCAAAUAAUUUAAUGGCACCUGCCCUGCUCUGCAGUUGGCUUCAGUAUUAUGGUCUGCAGCUCCAGCCUUAAUGUCCUCUGCAAAGCAGCCAGGCAUGAACACACCAGGAAAACACAUGCUGGUGCUUGC